GUCUGCGUGCCCGCCCGCCCGCCGCGCGCGGCGGGCGAGUGUUCACACCGCAAGGAUGGCGUUUGCUUCAUCAAUGUUGUAAGUGAUGCACUUUUUCACUUGCAGGUCUGUUUCAGUUUGCUUUGCAGCCCAAAACCCCAAGGAAAGGUGGCAGCUUAGGCUGUGUUAUAGCCCUGGUGCUAUUCACUGAAGUGGACUGAGGUUUCGCAUUGUGUGCUUUCGGGCAAGGUUGACUGGGUGCUAUGGGAUCGUUCGGCGUACAAUGCAUGCAUUUUGCGUCUUGUCUUUUUCAUACUCGCUCAACUCAGCUCUUCCACACUUACGAUGUUGACUUAAUGGUUUUAAACGACCCGUCUUGAAACACGGACCAAGGAGUC
rnacentral:rRNA from 1 species